GCCGCCCUAGCUCAGUCGGCAGAGCGAUUCACUCGUAAUGAAUAGGUCAGGGGUUCGAUUCCCCUGGGCGGCUC
rnacentral:tRNA from 1 species